UACGUAGGGGGCAAGCGUUGUCCGGAUUUAUUGGGCGUAAAGAGCGUGUAGGCGGCCAGGUAGGUCUGCUGUGAAAACUCGAGGCUCAACCUCGAGACGCCGGCGGAAACCAUCUGGCUAGAGUCCGGAAGAGGAGAGUGGAAUUCCUGGUGUAGCGGUGAAAUGCGCAGAUAUCAGGAAGAACACCAGUGGCGAAGGCGGCUCUCUGGGACGGUACUGACGCUGAGACGCGAAAGCGUGGGGAGCGAACAGG
rnacentral:rRNA from 1 species